rnacentral:rRNA from 1 species
AACGCGAAGAACCUUACCUACUCUUGACAUCCAGAGAACUUUCCAGUAGAUGGAUUGGUGCCUUCGGGAACUCUGAGACAGGUGCUGCAUGGCUGUCGUCAGCUCGUGUUGUGAAAUGUUGGGUUAAGUCCCGCAACGAGCGCAACCCUUAUCCUUUGUUGCCAGCGGUUCGGCCGGGAACUCAAAGGAGACUGCCAGUGAUAAACUGGAGGAAGGUGGGGAUGACGUCAAGUCAUCAUGGCCCUUACGAGUAGGGCUACACACGUGCUACAAUGGCGUAUACAAAGAGAAGCGACCUCGCGAGAGCAAGCGGACCUCAUAAAGUACGUCGCAGUCCGGAUUGGAGUCUGCAACUCGACUCCAUGAAGUCGGAAUCGCUAGUAAUCGUAGAUCAGAAUGCUACGGUGAAUACGUUCCCGGGCCUUGUACACACCG